CCUCCUGCAAACAUCAACGUAUAGGAGGUCUCGCCUGCCCAGUGACAAGUUAAACGGCCGCGGUAUUUUGACCGUGCGAAGGUAGCGCAAUCACUUGUCUUUUAAAUGAAGACCUGUAUGAAUGGUAGAACGAAGGCUUAACUGUCUCCCUUUUUAAGUCAAUGAAAUUGAUCUGCCCGUGCAGAAGCGGACAUAAUAAUACAAGACGAGAAGACCCUUUGGAGCUUAAGACUCCAGAUCAAUUAUGUCAAGAACUUAAACUAAGUUAAACCAAAUAACACCUGAUCCCAAUCUUUAGUUGGGGCGACCGCGGGAGAAAAUAAAGCUCCCAUGAGGACUGGACCCACCUCCAGAACCAAGAAAGACAUCUCUAAGUCACAGAACCUCUGACCAUAAAGAUCCGGCCACCCGCCGACCAACGGACCAAGUUACCCUAGGGAUAACAGCGCAAUCCCCUUUCAGAGUCCAUAUCGACAAGGGGGUUUACGACCUCGAUGUUGGAUCAGGACAUCCUAAUGGUGCAGCCGCUAUUAAGGGUUCGUUUGUUCAACGAUUAAAGUC
rnacentral:rRNA from 1 species